rnacentral:lncRNA from 1 species
CCUCAAUCUACAUUUGCCAUUAAAUUGCAAAAAGAUGAACUUUUGACAAAUCACUAGUGCUGACAGUAUAACCCUCUUCUCCUUCCAACACAUAAUAAUACAAGUACCUCACUUUUUUAAAAGAAAAGAUGAAAGCUUUAGGUACUAAUAAUGUAUCCUGAAUUUUUUUUACCUAGGAGAUUGGUCUUUUUUUAAACAAAAAAUUCAUUUGUGUGUUCUCUACAGUAUAGACAGUGGCUUUAGAAAUAAAGUGAUGCAAAUUUAUAGUGAAAAAGCACUUCAAAAUAUCACCAUAGUUUCACUGCAUCACUAGAAUAAUCUCU